rnacentral:rRNA from 1 species
AGAGUUUGAUCAUGGCUCAGAUUGAACGCUGGCGGCAUGCCUUACACAUGCAAGUCGAACGGCAGCGCGGGGCAACCUGGCGGCGAGUGGCGAACGGGUGAGUAAUAUAUCGGAACGUACCCUAGAGUGGGGGAUAACGUAGCGAAAGUUACGCUAAUACCGCAUACGAUCUAUGGAUGAAAGUGGGGGAUCGCAAGACCUCAUGCUCCUGGAGCGGCCGAUAUCUGAUUAGCUAGUUGGUGGGGUAAAGGCCUACCAAGGCAUCGAUCAGUAGCUGGUCUGAGAGGACGACCAGCCACACUGGAACUGAGACACGGUCCAGACUCCUACGGGAGGCAGCAGUGGGGAAUUUUGGACAAUGGGCGAAAGCCUGAUCCAGCAAUGCCGCGUGAGUGAAGAAGGCCUUCGGGUUGUAAAGCUCUUUUGUCAGGGAAGAAACGGUGAGUUCUAAUACAGCUUGCUAAUGACGGUACCUGAAGAAUAAGCACCGGCUAACUACGUGCCAGCAGCCGCGGUAAUACGUAGGGUGCAAGCGUUAAUCGGAAUUACUGGGCGUAAAGCGUGCGCAGGCGGUUAUGUAAGACAGAUGUGAAAUGCCCGGGCUUAACCUGGGAACUGCAUUUGUGACUGCAUGGCUAGAAUCUGGCAGAGGGGGGUAGAAUUCCACGUAGCAGUGAAAUGCGUAGAGAUGUGGAGGAACACCGAUGGCGAAGGCAGCCCCCUGGGUCAAGAUUGACGCUCAUGCACGAAAGCGUGGGGAGCAAACAGGAUUAGAUACCCUAGUAGUCC